rnacentral:rRNA from 1 species
CUACGGGUUGCUCCAGUGGGGAAUAUUGCACAAUGGGGGAAACCCUGAUGCAGCAACGCCGCGUGGAGGAUGACGCAUUUCGGUGUGUAAACUCCUUUUAUAUAGGAAGAUAAUGACGGUACUAUAUGAAUAAGCACCGGCUAACUCCGUGCGCAGCAGCCGCGGUAAUACGGAGGGUGCAAGCGUUACUCGGAAUCACUGGGCGUAAAGCGCGCGCAGGCGGUUUGAUAAGUUGGAUGUGAAAGCCUACGGCUCAACCGUAGAACUGCAUCCAAAACUGUCAAACUAGAGUCCGGGAGGGGAAGAUGGAAUUAGUUGUGUAGGGGUAAAAUCCGUAGAGAUAACUAGGAAUACCAAAAGCGAAGGCGAUCUUCUGGAACAGUACUGACGCUGAGGCGCGAAAGCGUGGGGAGCAAACAGGAUUAGAUACCCCCGUAGUC